rnacentral:tRNA from 1 species
GCGGGUGUAGCUCAGCGGUAGAGUACAACCUUGCCAAGGUUGGUGUCGAGGGUUCGAUUCCCUUCGCCCGCUCCA